GUUCCAUUUAGAGGAAGUAAAAGUCGUAACAAGGUUUCCGUAGGUGAACCUGCGGAAGGAUCAUUACCGAGACGUGCGGGCCCCCCCGCGGGGCCGGCGCCUCCCCACCCCGUGCCUACCGCCCGCGCGAUCCCGCGCGCCGGUUGCUUCGGCGGCCCUGCGGCCCCCCUCUGCGGGGGCCCUCACCGCCGGCGAGACCUCGUCCAAACUCACGUGCGAACGACCGUGCCGUCUGAGCCUGACACGCGAAUCGACAAAACUUUCAACAACGGAUCUCUUGGUUCUGGCAUCGAUGAAGAACGCAGCGAAAUGCGAUAAGUAAUGUGAAUUGCAGAAUUCAGUGAAUCAUCGAAUCUUUGAACGCACAUUGCGCCCCCUGGCAUUCCGGGGGGCAUGCCUGUUCGAGCGUCAUGAACACCCCUCGAGCCGCGGGCUCGGUGAUGGGCCGCCGCCCGGGAAACGGGGCGGGCCCGAAAGUCAGUGGCGGCGCGGCCGGGCCUCGAGCGUAGUAACUUCGUCGCCGCUCCGGAGGCCUCGGCCGGGCCCGCCAGGCAACCCCCCGACGCGCAACCGUUUGACCUCGGAUCAGGUAGGGAUACC
rnacentral:rRNA from 1 species